UACAGAGGUCUCAAGCGUUGUUCGGAUUCAUUGGGCGUAAAGGGUGCGUAGGUGGCGCUGUAAGUCGGGUGUGAAAUUUCGGAGCUCAACUCCGAAACUGCAUUCGAUACUGCGGUGCUUUGAGGACUGGAGAGGAGACUGGAAUUCAUGGUGUAGCAGUGAAAUGCGUAGAGAUCAUGAGGAAGACCAGUGGCGAAGGCGGGGUCUCUGGACAGUUCCUGACACUGAGGCACGAAGGCCAGGGGGAGCAAACAGGG
rnacentral:rRNA from 1 species